GAUGCUGAGGAAUAGUAGAAGUUUGUUUAUUACGUUUUCGCGUCAUGAUGAAAGUACUUAUAGUGGUGAUUUCGCUCCUUGUAUGUUUAGCCACAUCUGAAGCAAGAAGACGAACAGAUAGAUUUUUGGCUGGAAAAAGGUUUGGCAUUCAAGAAGCUUCACAAUCAGACUCAGGAGAGGGUUACUAUGGAGGUCCGGCGCUASAGAWAAGAGAAGRGAUGACAAUAGGACCUCCUAUAMYGCCACCGGGAAAACGAGCUUACAGAUGGAUGUAAAACUAGCAUGAGCUACCAGACAGGGAUCGACAACAUUAUGUACUUGGGCAUACCAAGAUAUUUAAAAGGUGGAUUUCAAAGUACUUAAUUAGACGUAAAAACAAACAAACUGCAUAACGUUUUGUAGCAUGGAAAGAUAAAAGGAAAAUGUAAUGUAAUAUUAUAGAGGAAACAGAAAAUAAAGAAAAAACAUUCACAAUAAA